rnacentral:sRNA from 1 species
AGUACUUCGCCUAACAGUUGUCCUGGGACUGCUUGUCUUAAUCCUGACCUGCUAUGCAGACGACAAACCAGACAAGCCAGAUGACAAGCCAGAUGAUUCGGGCAAAGACCCAAAGCCAGACUUCCCCAAAUUCCUAAGCCUCCUGGGCACAGAGAUCAUUGAGAAUGCAGUCGAGUUCAUACUCCGCUCCAUGUCCAGGAGCACAAUGGAGGCUCCAUGAGAACAAGGAAUGUGUGUUUUUUCACUAAUGCACCCAUGCCUACAACUGACCCUGGCAGAGUAAGCAUUCAACAGAUCACUGUGAUUGUCUGAAGAGGAUGGUAUUUUGUAUGUGGCUGUCUCCACAGCUCACAGCUUUGAGGCUAAAGGAGAGAUGCUAUAGUGAAUCUCCACAUAAAGACAGGAAUGGACCCAACCACAGCCCAAGAAACUGCUCCCAACCAAUUCAACUCAACACUACAAACAUAAUUGAGCACCAACUCUAUCUAGUCUGUGCAGAUACAUAGACAAGACAAGGAUGCCCAUUCAGAGACUUCACACAGUCCAGUUGGUGAUAGAAGAUCUGUGUA